CCGGCGCACGGGUGAGUAACGCGUAUCCAACCUGCCCCUUCACCACGGGAUAACCCGGCGAAAGUCGGACUAAUACCGUAUGUUGUCCAUUGACGGCAUCCGAUUUGGACGAAAGGCUUGGCGGUGAGGGAUGGGGAUGCGUCCGAUUAGCCAGACGGCGGGGUAACGGCCCACCGUGGCGACGAUCGGUAGGGGUUCUGAGAGGAAGGUCCCCCACACUGGAACUGAGACACGGUCCAGACUCCUACGGGAGGCAGCAGUGAGGAAUAUUGGUCAAUGGGCGUAAGCCUGAACCAGCCAAGUAGCGUGCAGGACGACGGCCCUAUGGGUUGUAAACUGCUUUUAUGCGGGGAUAAAGUGGCCCACGUGUGGGUUUUUGCAGGUACCGCAUGAAUAAGGACCGGCUAAUUCCGUGCCAGCAGCCGCGGUAAUACGGAAGGUCCGGGCGUUAUCCGGAUUUAUUGGGUUUAAAGGGAGCGUAGGCCGCGCCUUAAGCGUGUUGUGAAAUCCGGGUGCUCAACAUCCGGCUUGCAGCGCGAACUGGGGCGCUUGAGUGCGCAGAAAGUAGGCGGAAUUCGUGGUGUAGCGGUGAAAUGCUUAGAUAUCACGAGGAACUCCGAUUGCGAAGGCAGCCUACUGUAGCGCUACUGACGCUGAUGCUCGAAAGCGUGGGUAUCGAACAGGAUUAGAUACCCUGGUAGUCCACGCGGUAAACGAUGGAUGCUCGUUGUCGGCCCUUUGGGUCGGUGACCAAGCGAAAGCGUUAAGCAUCCCACCUGGGGAGUACGCCGGCAACGGUGAAACUCAAAGGAAUUGACGGA
rnacentral:rRNA from 1 species